AAAUUGUGCUCGAAAAGCACCUGUAAUGUUCCUCCUUCGUUUUUCGAAGCAGGUCUAUCUGGAUUAAGGAAUGUAAUGGAUUCGGUUUUGUCGCAGAAAACGUAAAUAAGGUUUACACCAGACGAUCUUUUGGGAAAGACUCCACUUGUGUGGUGUGCGGGAUAUCAAUCACAAGUUGACAAUGAGGACUAAAUACAAUAGCGUUAUCUAUCAACCCAGCGAGAAAAUUUUAUCUGAUUUGUGAACCGGCGUCAACGUGAAGCUAGUCACGCCAAAGUACGAAGGUCUCCCCUUCAACUCAGUUGGUACUGUC